UGUCGGAUUGUUCACCCGCCAAUAGGGAACGUGAGCUGGGUUUAGACCGUCGUGAGACAGGUUAGUUUUACCCUACUGACAAAGUAGAUACUGCGACAGUAGUCGAAGUUAGUACGAGAGGAACACUUCGUCCAGAUACUUGGUUAAUGCCGUUGUCUGAAAAGACAGUACGGCGAAGCUACCAUCUGCUGGAUUACGGCUGAACGCCUCUAAGCCGGAAUCCAUGCUGGAUAAGCAGUGUUGUACACCGUGCUCAAUGCUACAAGAAAAAGGCUAGGUCAGGCUUCGGCCUGACCAAAAUUCAAGCUGCUAUACCUCUGGCUGCAUUGACUUGUGGUCAGAGUGUAUGGUGAUCAUAGCAAUUGCAAGUAUUGGGCUCGAUAAAUCCUUUGAAGACGACUUAAUUGCAUCCGGGUAUUGUAAGUGUUGAGAGUAGGCUUAGUCUUACGAUCCACUGAGAUUCAUCCCGUGUUGCGCCGAUUUGU
rnacentral:ncRNA from 1 species